rnacentral:rRNA from 1 species
AUGGGGUUCCUGGCCGCCUUCUGGAACCUGCUCGCCUUGAUUUCCGCCGCAUGUAGCAACGCGGAGAAGCUGCCGGCUGCUCUCAUCUCCUGCGGCGUCGUCGAAGCAGCAGCGGCGCUCUGCCUCGUCAUAUCCAAAGCGCCCGGAGGUAUAUUUCUCCACCACGGCAAAGCACCCUUCUUCUUGUACUACGGCAUCCUCAUUGCCGUGUUCGUCUUCGGGCUCCUCGAGGCGUCGGCCGGCUUCUGGGUGUCGGGCGAUGUGGUCGGACGACGUGCCGCCGGGAAGACCAUCCUCUGGUUGGGCCUCCUGCCCAUCGUCUUCGUGGCUGCGCUUGGAGGCUUUGUCAUUCUGAGCAUGAAAUAG